rnacentral:rRNA from 1 species
UACGUAGGGGGCAAGCGUUAUCCGGAUUUACUGGGUGUAAAGGGCGCGUAGGCGGGAAUGCAAGUCAGAUGUGAAAUCCAUGGGCUUAACCCAUGAACUGCAUUUGAAACUGUUUCCCUUGAGUAUCGGAGAGGUCAUCGGAAUUCCUAGUGUAGCGGUGAAAUGCGUAGAUAUUAGGAAGAACACCAGUGGCGAAGGCGGAUGACUGGACGACAACUGACGGUGAGGCGCGAAAGCGUGGGGAGCAAACAGG